rnacentral:rRNA from 1 species
GAUGAACGCUGGCGGCGUGCUUAACACAUGCAAGUCGAACGGAAAGGCCCAAGCUUGCUUGGGUACUCGAGUGGCGAACGGGUGAGUAACACGUGUGUGAACUGUCCUUCACUUCGGGAUAAGCCUGGGAAACUGGGUCUAAUACCGGAGAGGACCACUUCUUGGAUGUUGUUGUGGAAAGUUUUCUCGGUGUGGGAUGAGCUCGCGGCCUAUCAGCUCGUUGGUGGGGUAAUGGCCUACCAAGGCGUCGACGGGUAGCCGGCCUGAGAGGGUGUAGGGCCACAUUGGGACUGAGAUACGGCCCAGACUCCUACGGGAGGCAGCAGUGGGGAAUAUUGCACAAUGGGCGCAAGCCUGAUGCAGCGACGCCGCGUGGGGGAUGACGGCAUUCGGGUUGUAAACUCCUUUCGCUAGGGACGAAGCGUUUUUGUGACGGUACCUGGAGAAGAAGCACCGGCUAACUACGUG